rnacentral:lncRNA from 1 species
UUCAAACACAUGUGACAGAGCCCAUUGCCAUAGGAGAUGGGGCCCUGAGCCAAGACUAGAAGCUCUUCAGACUUGACUCUUAGGCCAGGGAGAUGGUCGAAACAAAAACAAAACCUACUUUCAAUUAAAUUGUUAAUGCCUGGGAGCCCACCCUGACGCUCAUUUCUAUCACUAGGAGCCACCUUCAGCUAGACAUUCACUCAACAGUAGGCCUGAAAUAAAACCAGAAAUCCUCACUCCUAGCCUUGCCCCGGCACAUUGAAAACAGGAAUAUGCAUAAAAAGCCGUCUGCAGGAGUCGACUAUUGGAAAUGCACCAGCAGAGGGCGCGAGAGCCCCACCAGUCCCUGCCCACUGACCUCUCCAGGAGGAGCUGCAAGGAAAGCCAGAGAACCCACGUAAGGAAUCAAUUCCAAAAGGCCUCCUCAAAAUCCAGUGUUUGAAACUCAUAAGAAGUGACAUCCAUCCAUCCCUUUAUUUAUUUACCCAGCACUUUGUUGAGCACCUGCAGUGACCCAGGCAUGGGGCUAGACCACGCAUUUUCCCAGAAAGUGGUGCUGUAACAAUAGUUAGAUUUGAGACUAGCCCUCAGAAGCCUUUUAAGUCUUUAGAGAAAAUAGAAUUAGUGAGACUAUUUUCUGUUCUAGAGUAGAGAAAAGGAAUGGAGGAAGGACACUAUGGAAGAGAAGAAUUGGAGAGAUGAGCAGGAAUAAGAGGACCUUGGGGAAGAAGUAAAGUUGGGUUUCAACCCCUGCUCAGUGAUAAAAUAUUAAACCUUAAAAAGUUUGUCUCUGGCAUCCUCCCAUUUCCUUUUCUAGACCCUGACUUGGGUCUAGA